UUUUUCUUUCUCUCUCUCUCUCUCUCUCUCUCUCUCUGUGUGUGUGUGUGUGAGAGAGAGAGAGAGAGAGAGAGAGGAGGAGGAG
rnacentral:miRNA from 1 species